rnacentral:rRNA from 1 species
CAAUAGCGUAUAUUUAAGUUGUUGCAGUUAAAAAGCUCGUAGUUGGAUUUCGGGUGGGGCCUGCCGGUCCGUCGAUGCGAUGUGCACUGGCCGGUCCUAUCUUGUUGUCGGGUACUAGCUCCUGGGCUUCGCUGUCCGGGACUAGGAGCUGACGAGGUUACUUUGAGUAAAUUAGAGUGUUCAAAGCAAGCCUACGCUCUGAAUACAUUAGCAUGGAAUAACACGAUAGGACUCUGGCUUAUCUUGUUGGUCUGUGAGACCAGAGUAAUGAUUAAGAGGGACAGUCGGGGACAUUCGUAUUUCAUUGUCAGAGGUGAAAUUCUUGGAUUUAUGAAAGACGAACUUCUGCGAAAGCAUUUGUCAAGGAUGUUUUCAUUAAC